CAGGAGCAACCACCUGCUCUUUCUACCCCCUCGGAGACGCUACGCUUUUGGACUAAAUCCAAACUCUUUGAAAUCUUGUCUCGGCAAAGACUUGCAGUGUUGAGAGGAGAAACGAUUUUCCACCUAAGGGUUGAGGAGUCUCCCUACUGUACAUCUACUGUAGUGCUCAGCAGACAAGGAUUUAUGAACCCCGUCGUCUUUUCAAACUUGAAAACAAAGGUUCAUAUGUGGCCUAAGCUAUAAGUUCAACUACGGUCAAUACGUCCCGGGACACAGUAACGCGCACACCGUUUCCCGAAGCACGAAUAAAAUAAAAUCCGGAGCCUAUUAAAGAAUUAGGAGGAUGCUGUCAAACUCCAUUUAUGGUUCUGCCUGAGGUGAAACACGUUUACAAGGGGGUCCAUUUGUUGUUCCUUACCUUCGAAGGAGAGGAAGACUCUGGGCAGAGGCUGCGGGAGGCUACAGACCCCAGCGGAGAAGAGCGAGACGGUCAGGAGGGAAAGCACAACAGCCAG